GGAAUGUCGAGAAGCCAAAGUUGAGGGAGAAAUAAACAUAGAUAGAUUUUAAAUCAAUGAACGUGAAAAAAUACUUCCCACAAUUGCAUAGUGUAAGUAGGAAAAUGAGAAUAUGUUAACAUUUUGUCUGUCGCCACGAACCGAGGAGUAAUAGCUUCUGUAUGCGAUAGAUCCCUUUAUUCAGGGUUCUUUCGGUAACCCUGGCUUUGACCACUGAUUUACAAAGAAUUGUAAUGCAACGUGGUUACACCAGAGCGACGCUACAGUCCGCAAGCCAGUCACUGAGCCAGGCAAUUCUCUGUGUUGAGUUCUGGACGCAGGAUCAGACUGCAUUCCCGCGGAGAUGCUCAUAGUCCUACGGAAGAAGUCCGAGCGGGAAACCCCGGCGUAUUCCGCAGACAGAGAGAGAGGAAGAGAGAGAGACAUUGGCAUGGGGAAGAAACAUCAACUGGUUGAUUGCCUCCCGUGAGCCCCCGACGAGGGAUGGAACCCACAACUUCUUCUUGCACGGGAUGACGCUCCAACCAACUGAGCCACCCGGCCAGGGCUACUGUAAGAACUUCUCUUUCUUCUAUGGAACACUUCUUGGUUUUUGCCUAGCUCUGUUCCCAGUUUGUAUAUUCUAAGACCCUUAAAUAAAUCUUAUCAUUUGUUUCUG